UAUUAAUAUAUAUAAGGUGUGUGAAUGAUUUAACAAAUAUUGGCAAUAAUAUAAAAAAGGCAGAUUGUGUGUGUGUGUGGAUGUCCUUUAUAAGUUCACACACCAUUAAACCUCGAAGGCUAAAAUUUUGCAUGUGUCCCUAUAUCCAUUCUAGUCUCCUUGAGCUACAAAAAAAAGUUUUUGUAGCUCAGGGAGACUAGAUAGGGGUUUGAGCUAUUUAUCAGAAAGAGAUUGGUUUUUCAAACAACAACUAAAGGUGCAAAAAAAAUGAACUUCCAAUGGAAUAUGGGAUUAGUAAAUAGAAUAAAUUUGUAGAUAUUUGUCAGGAGAUUAAUUUGCAUAUAAAUUUGCCAAAAUAAAAUUGAUGUUUAACGGAACUCUUCCAUCAAAUGUCAAUUUUCAAUAUUUUUAAAAGAAAUGCUACAAAACGAUACAUUUUGGAAAUAAAAUUCGACACUCUUACUAUUCAAUGAAAUAUUUUCAAUUUCCGGAACAUUUUGCUACAUAUUUGGAACCAGUUAUUGACGGUUAUUUUUUCGACAACAUUAUUCUUCAUAACUUUUUCCAAGUACGAAAAAAUAUUGAUACCAAAGUCUCAAAUACUAUUUAAGUAAAAAGAACAAUGAGGGGACAGUGUUCCAACACCGUUUGGAUCAUCCUAGUUAAAAAAUUAAUUUAUUUUUUAACUAUGGGAACUAGUACUCAGAUUUGCAAACCAGGCUUCAAACAUAACCAGGACUAGUGAUCAAAAUAAACUGUCAAGCAAUACGUACUUUUGAACCUAUCAUUGGAGUAUUAACUAUUUUAAAUAAUGAAAAACUAUUUCUCCUAAUAAAAUGAAGCAAAUUGUUUAUUACAACAAUUGAUACAUAAAAUUUAACGUUCUUAAUUAUGUUAAGUUCAAAUCUUAACAUAUAAUGAAAAUGAACAUUAAUUAUAUUUAUGAAUGAUAUACAAAGAAACCAAUAACAAAAACAAACGGAA
rnacentral:lncRNA from 1 species